GUUGGCGUGGCAGAGCCUGGCAAAUGCAAAAGACCUAAGCCCUUUAAACAGAGGUUCAAGUCCUCUCUCUAACU
rnacentral:tRNA from 1 species